CCCAGUCAUUACCUGGAAGCUGCAUCCUUCAUUAAUCCCAUGCAUGGCAACGAGACGUCUGCUCACGGCUUCCCCCAGCGUGCCUUCCCGAUGUGCUGCUGCAGCAGGAGAGAAAGUUUUGGUGGUGCUGACGCUGGGAGGUGACAGGAGAAGAGGUCCCGAGGCAGACCUGGGUUAGCUCUCAGCCGGCUCCAUCCCACAGCUGCCCCUCCCCCAUCCCAUUAACCCCCCCCCACGCUCCGCGCUCGCUCCCAUCCCGCUUCCCGCCAGGAUGGGGGGAGUGGGCGUGGUCGCGGAACUAGAUG
ensembl:lncRNA